rnacentral:rRNA from 1 species
AGAGUUUGAUCAUGGCUCAGGAUGAACGCUGGCGGCGUGCCUAACACAUGCAAGUCGAACGGGAGGUCUAUUUCGGUAGACUUUUAGUGGCGAACGGGUGAGUAACACGUUGGUGACCUGCCCCGAAGUGGGGGACAACUCCUCGAAAGAGGAGCUAAUACCCCAGAUGUUUAAGGGUUUAGACGCCAUAGACUAAAGUUUUUCGGAAUGCUUUGGGAGGGGCCUGCGGGCUAUCAGCUAGUUGGUGAGGUAAUGGCUCACCAAGGCGAAGACGGCUAGGGGGCGUGAGAGCGUGACCCCCCACAAGGGAACUGAGAAACGGUCCCUACUCCUACGGGAGGCAGCAGUGAGGAAUAUUGAGCAAUAGGCGCAAGCCUGACUCAGCAACGCCGCGUGGAUGAAGAAGGCCUUCGGGUUGUAAAAUCCUUUUCUGGGGGAAGAUGAUGACGGUACCCCAGGAAUAAGUUCCGGCUAACUACGUGCCAGCAGCCGCGGUAAAACGUGGGGGACAAGCGUUAUCCGGAUUUACUGGGCGUAAAGCGCAUGUAGGUGGCGCGGAAAGUUGGACGUGAAAGCUCCCGGCUUAACUGGGAGAGGUCGUACAAAACUACCGUGCUUGAGGUUGGAAGAGGAGAGC